rnacentral:rRNA from 1 species
UGCAGUCGAACGGAUCCUUCGGGAUUAGUGGCAGACGGGUGAGUAACGCGUGGGAAGCUACCUUGUGGUAGGGAACAACAGUUGGAAACGACUGCUAAUACCCUAUGAGCCCUAUGGGGGAAAGAUUUAUCGCCAUGAGAUGUGCCCGCGUUAGAUUAGCUAGUUGGUAAGGUAAUGGCUUACCAAGGCGACGAUCUAUAGCUGGUCUGAGAGGAUGAUCAGCCACACUGGGACUGAGACACGGCCCAGACUCCUACGGGAGGCAGCAGUGGGGAAUAUUGGACAAUGGGGGCAACCCUGAUCCAGCCAUGCCGCGUGAGUGAUGACGGCCUUAGGGUUGUAAAGCUCUUUCAGCAGUGAAGAUAAUGACAUUAACUGCAGAAGAAGCCCCGGCUAACUUCGUGCCAGCAGCCGCGGUAAUACGAAGGGGGCUAGCGUUGUUCGGAAUCACUGGGCGUAAAGCGUACGUAGGCGGACUGAUCAGUCAGGGGUGAAAUCCCGGGGCUCAACCCCGGAACUGCCUUUGAUACUGUCAGUCUUGAGAUCGAGAGAGGUGAGUGGAACUCCGAGUGUAGAGGUGAAAUUCGUAGAUAUUCGGAAGAACACCAGUGGCGAAGGCGGCUCACUGGCUCGAUACUGACGCUGAGGUACGAAAGCGUGGGGAGCAAACAGGAUUAGAUACCCUGGUAGUCCACGCCGUAUACGAUGAAUGCUAGUUGUCAGGUAGCUUGCUAUUUGGUGACGCAGCUAACGCAUUAAGCA